rnacentral:lncRNA from 1 species
GUGUUCAAUUCUUCAGAAUAAGUAUGCCGUGUUACCAUCGAAUUCCACCUUGCUCAGCACACGAUCUCUUCCUCUUCCUUGGGCCAACUGGUUCAACCAUCUGAAACUGUGUCUGCACAUGAGCUCUAUUAUUUGUGUUUGUGGGUGCGAGGGAGAGAGAGAGAGAGAGAGAGAUGGUAUAGAAGCAUAUAUAAAAGAAGAAUAGAAACAGCGAUAACUAUAACUGCGGGAGCUGCAUAGAAAACAGAGCUUCAGAUCAUGGAUACAAAGCUCCUGGAACUGCACUAGCUGUUUCAUGCCCUGAAGCACAGCAUAAAUUAACUACACAAAUAAAUAAUAGUAUCCCCAAGUUUAGGCGGCGUUACCAAUUAUUUGGAUGGACCAAGGGAAAUGAAGACGAAGAUAUGCAGUGUAUAAUCAAUAUUUGGUUCACAUGAGGAGAUAUAAAGAUGAACAGUGGCAGGCAGUCACAAAAAAUUGAAACCUCUAUCAAUGGAUUCCGCCCACACCGAUCUCCAGAUUAUGGAGCAGGAAAUGAGAAUGUAAGAGACAUACUCAUGCAAGACACAACCAUCAGCAAUUGUCCAUUCAAAUAAAGGCUACCCAACAAGACAAAUAUCCUUUUUGAGAAGUCAAAGUAGGGCGAUGUUCAUAAUUAUUGUCACUAGCAACGUCCCUUGCUAUCAGAACCAGACUUGGAUCGCCUAGAACAGGGGACAAGGAGGUGGAGCAGGUGGGGAUUCAGAGGCAAAUAUAGCCUGAUAUUAAAAAAAAUGUUGGAUAGCAGAUUAGGUGAGAUGUCCAUAAUAAGACUGCCAAUGAUAUCCCUUGAACCCAUGGAUGGAGACAUGCGGCUGACAAUCCUAGAACAGACAGCCCACCAAACCAUACUCUCGGAGAUGCAGAGAACCCACAUAGUCUGAAGGACGCUAAGGAUCAAACCAGGAACCUUCAUGACCCACUUGAACACCAGAGAAGAACCUUCAUGAUCCUCUUGAAAGAGAGCAAGGUGCAGUAUUUUCAAGCCUCCUGUUUAUAGGAUUAACACGAGGCUUCUGAAUGGUCGCUGCUAAAUCUUGCCUAGAAAUCCCAACAGCACUCACAACUCUUAGAAACGGCCAAAUAGUGAAAGAUAUAAAUUUGGGCAUGGUGACCUACGAGAAUCAGCAAAAGAGAUCCUCAUGAAAGUAUUCAACUAGUCGAGCCAAGUUUCCUUCCAGUGGAGACUUCGAUCGGUGAUGGCGGACUCCGAUGUCCUCGUCAUGUACAAAUCUUGCCGUACCCAACAAAGCAUCUUUAGGUGGCUGAUGCCUGUCCUACCGGGGAAAGUCAUUUCGAAAGAGCCCAGGUUGAUGCUCUCAUCUUGUGAAACGCGGGCACAAGCGCAGUGCCCAGGCGUUCUUCGAAAAGGAAAACUUCCUCACGGACGCAAACUUCAGUGGGGAAAAUGAUCACUACAAGUCAGGUGAUAAAUAAGAACAGUAAUAGAGCAACGUGGGUGAUCUCCACCAUAACUCGGACUUCAGCGCCAUGACCGGAAUCGAAGCUGUCGGUCAGAAAAUGAAGGACAGCAAUGAGUGCCCUGUCCGCAAAUCAUUCUAGACGACGUGGCCUUCCACCGCAUCACGGAAGAUACGGCAUGGAGUGGCGCGUUAGGGCGGAGACAAAGCCCGGUGGGAGGAAGAUAGGAUAGAACAGGAGACAAGGACGGGCAGGCAGCAGGAGAUAUCAAAGGGGAAGAAAACGACAGAUACCCGUACAGAAAAUGCAAUAAACACUCGAGGUAAUCAAAGCUGAGAAGGGCCGGGGAUUUGGGAUCCAGGUGGGGUUCUUCGUCGACCCCAGAAAAGCUUCCAGUUUUUAGCAGAAGAAAAAGAGAAACAAAGAGGGGAACCAGGAGCGCCGCCGGCCGGCGGGCCGGCCGAAUGGGGGAGUCCAGGAACGCCGGCUACUGGUGGGGAUCGGUCGGUAAUUGUUUACUUACAGUGACCGAGGAAGCGGGCACCCCCAUUGCAGACCCAUUAGGCGAUCUCAGGGCAGUCGGUUUGGGCUUCAAUGGGCUUCGAUUUCCCGAUGCGGCAAAAAGUGGGCCCGACAGAAGCAGAAUAUAUUGUCCCGGUUUGAACUCAGUGGGCCCACUCGUAUCCCGGCGUCCCUCGCUGGGAC